rnacentral:lncRNA from 1 species
UGCUGCAGCUGGCUUUGAACUUUUUUUUUUUUUUUUCAUUUUGGUACCAGGGAUUGAACCCAGGGAUGCUUAACCACUGAGCCACAUCCCCUGUCCUAUUUUGAAUUUAUUUAGAGACAGGGUCUCACUGAGUUACUUAGUGCCUCGCUUUUGCUGAGGCUGGCUUUGAACUCAUAAUACUCCUGCCUCAGACUCCGAGCCGCUGAAAUUACAGAUGUGAGUCACUGUACCUGUCAACAAUCCCUCUCUUUUUUUAAGGACCUCCAGAGGAAAGCCUGAGCUUUGUAGAAUUUGAAACAUAUUUUUACUAUAUCCAAUAAUUUAUUGGAUCCCACUUCAUUGUAAAAGGCUAAGGUUACAAUCUUAGAGAUCAAGGAAGUUAUUUACUCAGUACUCAUAGUUUAAUGAAUGAAUGACAGUUCCAAUUAAGAUAUUUUAAUUGCUCAAGGCUCCUAAAUAUGAGAUAGAGCAUAUGAUAUUGAAUCAUGUUGACUACCUUGAUAACAUAGAAAGUAUCAAGAGUCAAAUAGAACAAAAAGACAAAAUAUUCUUCUUUUCCAACAUAUCAUGUAAAAUAAUUUUGUAUAUUUUUUAAAAAUAUUUUUUUUUUGUUGUAAAUGGAUCUUUUUUAUUAUUUAUUUAUAUGUGGUGCUGAGGAUUGAACCCAGGGCCUCACACAUGCCAAGCAAAUGCUCUACCACUGAGCCACAACUCCAGCCCUCAUUUUGUAUAUUAAAGAUGCAAACACCCAAGACUCCAGGAGCAGAAUGAGGAUGUUAGUGAACGUCCAGUGUACUUUCUACUUGUGAGAGCUCCUUGUAUGAAGGAGUGUGGAGGAGGAAAAAGAGCCUGUAAAAGAGGCCAAGUCAUAAAUUGUGCAACAAUCUGAGUAGAAUGAUGAAAUGUCACACUGUCCCACUCUGUCCCACCUGGGAGGUAAAUCAUCUCUGUCUAGCGUAUCCACACUGUAUAUGCUACCUGCCCAUUAGGCACUUAGUAGCCAUCUGAGUUUUCAGAACAGUAGUAUAGUAUUGUGGUGCUGGGUUCAAACCAUUAAGUAGUAGCCUUAUGGUAUACCACAAUGCCAGUGUCAUUCACCUCACUUCAUCUCGUCAUGUAUGUAUUUUAUCCUGUCACAUCAGCACAAGAAGGGUGAGUACAGUACAAUACAAUUUUGAGAGGGAGAUAAGAAAGAGGAAACCACAUUCCAAUAGCCUUCAUUCCAAUAUGUUAUUAUAUUAGCUUAUUAUUCUAUCUUUAUUAUUGCUGUUAAUCUCUUUUUUAUUAAUUUCUUUUAGAUAUUGGUAGACUUUUAUUUAUUUAUAUGUGGUGCUGGGAAUCGAACCCAGUGCCUCACACAUGCCAGGCAAGUGUUCUACCACUGAGCCCCAGCCCCAGCCCUGUUGUUAAUCUCUUACUGUGCCUAACUUAUAAAUUAAAAUUUAUCAUGGGUAUGUACUUAUCAGGAAAACAGUAUGUACGGCACAUGGCACUGUCUGUGGUUUCAGGAUCCAUAUGGAUCUUGGAAUGGAUGUCUCCCAGAUAAGGGGGACUACUGUACAGAAGUACUGUGAGGUUUCCUCAAAGUCAGGAUGUCCAUUUAGAGCUGAAACUUGUAAGGUGUCUUCUAUUUCAGGGAAUCGAACAGUUUCCUAAGGACCACUUUCAAUUUUCCCAAAGUUUAUAAAAGACUCCAAAGCAUGGGGGCUGUUUAGGAAACAGAGCCAACUGUGUGUGGGGGGGUCCCACCCACGUUUGCCUUCCCCUGCUUCUUUGGAGUUCCUGUGAGCCUUGGGGUAGAGGCUUGGCAAAGCUGCAAGAUGACAGGGAAGGUGGCCGUGGACCCUGCUCUCCUCUUGACACUGAAAGUGCAUUUGUUAUUCCAAACAGCCAACUCAAAAUUGCCUUUGUUUCACAUUUUCAAAGGGGGAAAAAUCAAUCUACAGCUUAGAAUAAAGUCUUAUGUAAACCAGAAACAUCCGGGAGGAUGAAAGAAGUUCAGGUGUCAGGAGUGAAAAUUAUGAUUGGUUUCUGUGCAUCUCAUUAGGGAAGAAAAGGUACAAAUGUACUUAAGUGGACCAGAGGGGGUCAAGGCUGAUCCUAAGGCUGAGCCAUCUGAGCUAGAGACAAGCUCUAAGAGAAAAUCUAUACUGGCCAGAGACCAAGUUAAUGGAAAAUUUAAUUGAGGCGAAUGAAAUGCUCAGCCUCUUGGUUGUGUGGCUGGGUGCCCUUUGAACCAGGAAGGCUGGGCCAAGAGGCCACAGAGGGCCCUAAGGGGGAAAAAAAAAAGAGGCGCUUAUCUGCACAAACAAGGGGCGGGACUGAGCCCGGGAAAAGAAAAUCAGAGCCUCCAACAGAGCCUCAGCCAGAGGCUGCACCAGGAAGGAGGAAAUCUGGCUUCUGCCACCAAGAAGUCCCCUCGAGGUCCAUAGCAGAAGGCCCCGCAGCUCCAAGCGGGUGCUGGGAACCAGCAGUCGCCAGAGGAGUGUGGCUGAGGCUGCCUGGUGGCAGGGACAGGAGUGCCCAGGUAGGAAUGGAGGCACCUGCUUGUGGGCUGAGUGGAAGAGGUGUGGCUCCAGGACACCUGCUUCCUCCUGCCCUUGCCUCUGUUUGCUUCUCUCCUUGCAGGUCCCCUGUCCUGUGCCCAGGAACCUCCGGGGCUGUGCUCUCUAGGUGGUGGCACCUGGCUAGCAUCUGGUGAUAGUUACUCACAGCUCUUGGAAUCUGCCAACCGUUUUGCUGCCUUUUCUAAGGUGGGCUUCAGGGCUGGGGGUCUGUGCUGUCACUGCCACCACCCCUGGUUCACACGAGGAGCCCUCUGGAAACAGACCAGAGAGUCUGGGCGGGCCGUGGGCUGGCUGGGUUGAGCAGCCCUGCUAAGGGUCAGGCCAUCGAUCCUGGGAAGGGCAGGGCUCCUGGCCUGGGGGAAGUGGCAGUGAUGGCCACAGGAGGAGGGGUUGCUCUGCGCAGCUUCCCCCUCGACUGG